rnacentral:rRNA from 1 species
AUGGACUUGCCGCUAGCCCUCGCAGCUCUACUCCUCCUCCUCCUAGUGCUCCUCGCUGCCCCGCCGGCGGCGCUCCUCAUUGCCCUCCACCUGAACCGCCGCCGCCGCCUAACGCCGCCCGAGCCGGCGGCCGCGGCGCUCGAGCCGAGCGCGCCGGCCGAGGAGAACGAGGGCGGGAAGGAGAAGAGGCGGCGGCGCAGGGCGAGGCGGAAGCAGCAGCAGAAGCAGGGCGGCGACGGGGCCCUCUCGCAGGCGGCAGGCGGCGGCGGGGACGACGCGCUGCCGCCGCGGCCGCGGUUCCCGCUCGCCUCGGUGGCCGGCGCACUGCAGCGGCGGAUCACCGCGCGGUACGACGAGCUCGCGCGGGCCAGCCAGGCCCAGUCCCUCACCAUUGACCAGGUCCAUGAGUUUCUUAACACUCUUGUAGAUGCGAGGGACGAACUACUACAAAAGUCUGAGAACACCCGAAGAAGCAUCACAAUAAGGAAGGCCAUGUUAUCUAACAGUCGUAAUGGUAGGUCUUCACAUGACCACCUUCGCCUAUGUCAACAGGUGGGUAAGUUGGAAUUUGAAUAUGAAAGACUAAAGAAAGAUGCCAGCAUUUACCAUAAUCUUCAUGAGCAGCUUCAGCUGUCAUCGUGCUACAAACUGAUGGAGGAGAGCAACGAUGAAGCGGAGAAGAAAAUCCGUGAAGCAGCCUUCGCCAAAGGGGUACGCGAUACCGCUUUCGAGGACCUGCUGGCCGUGGAGAAGAAGGAUGACGCCUUCUGGCGUCGUCACGGGAAGCUGAGGUCGAUCUCGGACAGCAUGUAG